rnacentral:rRNA from 1 species
UACGAAGGGGGCGAGCGUUAUUCGGAAUUAUUGGGCGUAAAGGGCGCGUAGGCGGCUGUACAAGUCAAAGGUGAAAUCCCUCGGCUCAACUGAGGAACUGCCUUUGAAACUGUACGGCUUGAGGCCGGGAGGGGGUAGCGGAAUUCCCAGUGUAGCGGUGAAAUGCGUAGAUACUGGGAGGAACACCAGUGGCGAAGGCGGCUACCUGGACCGGUUCUGACGCUGAGGCACGAAAGCGUGGGGAGCAAACAGG